AAACGUAGGAGGCGAGCGUUAUCCGGAUUUACUGGGCGUAAAGCGCGUGCAGGCGGUUGCGCAAGUUGGGCGUGAAAUCUCCCGGCUCAACUGGGAGGGGUCGUUCAAAACUGCGUAGCUUGAGGGCAGGAGAGGGAAGUGGAAUUCCCGGUGUAGCGGUAAUAUGCGCAGAUAUCGGGAGGAACACCAGUGGCGAAGGCGGCUUCCUGGCCUGUACCUGACGCUCAGACGCGAAAGCUAGGGUAGCGAACGGGAUUAGAUACCCCGGUAGUCCUAGCUGUAAACGAUGGAUACUAGGUGUGGGCGGUAUUGACCCCGCCUGUGCCGAAGCUAACGCGUUAAGUAUCCCGCCUGGGGAGUACGACCGCAAGGUUAAA
rnacentral:rRNA from 1 species